rnacentral:piRNA from 1 species
UUAAACUUCGUCCAACAUUUU